rnacentral:rRNA from 1 species
UACGGGGGGGGCAAACGUUGUUCGGAAUUACUGGGCGUAAAGGGCUCGUAGGUGGCCAACUAAGUCAGACGUGAAAUCCCUCGGCUUAACCGGGGAACUGCGUCUGAUACUGGAUGGCUGGAGAUUGGGAGAGGGAUGCGGAAUUCCAGGUGUAGCGGUGAAAUGCGUAGAUAUCUGGAGGAACACCGGUGGCGAAGGCGGCAUCCUGGACCAACACUGACGCUGAGGAGCGAAAAGCCAGGGGGAGCAAACGGG